rnacentral:misc_RNA from 1 species
GGAAGUAAAAGUCGUAACAAAGUUUCCGUAGGUGAACCUGCGGAAGGAUCAUUAUUGUAUAACCGAGGUGCGAGGGCUGUCGCUGACCCGAAAGGUCGUGCACGCCCGAGUGCCCUCACACACAUCCAUCUCACCCCAAUGUGCACCACCGCGUGGGUCCCCCUUUGGCUUGUUCGGAGGGGGGCUUACGUUUUCACACAAACUUUGUAUGCAGUGUAGAAUGUAUUUUUUGUUUUUGCGAUCACGCAAUCAAUACAACUUUCAACAACGGAUCUCUUGGCUCUC